GCUAAACGCGAAGAACCUUACCUGGUCUUGACAUGCACUGUGUCUCCCGUGAAAGCGGGAUAGGAUAGCAAUAUCCGCUUUGCACAGGUGCUGCAUGGCUGUCGUCAGCUCGUGUCGUGAGAUGUUGGGUUAAGUCCCCGCAACGAGCGCAACCCCUGUGGUUUGUUGCCACCCGGUUUACCGGUAGCACUCGAACCAGACUGCCUCGAUCAACGAAGGAGGAAGGUGGGGAGUGACGUCAAGUCCGUAUGGCCCGUUACCGACCAGGGCGUGCACACGUACUACAAUGCCCAGCACAAUGUGAACCGAAACCGCGAGGUGGAGGAAAUCAGCAAAACUAGGGCUCAGUUCAGAUUGCAGUCUGCAACUCGACUGCAUGAAGUUGGAAUCGCUAGUAAUGGUACAUCAGCUACGGUACCGUGAAUACGUUCCCGGGUCUUGUACACACCG
rnacentral:rRNA from 1 species